rnacentral:rRNA from 1 species
AACGAACGCUGGCGGCAUGCCUAACACAUGCAAGUCGAACGAAGGCUUCGGCCUUAGUGGCGCACGGGUGCGUAACGCGUGGGAAUCUGCCCUUGGGUUCGGAAUAACAGUUAGAAAUGACUGCUAAUACCGGAUGAUGUCUUCGGACCAAAGAUUUAUCGCCCAGGGAUGAGCCCGCGUAGGAUUAGGUAGUUGGUGAGGUAAAGGCUCACCAAGCCGACGAUCCUUAGCUGGUCUGAGAGGAUGAUCAGCCACACUGGGACUGAGACACGGCCCAGACUCCUACGGGAGGCAGCAGUGGGGAAUAUUGGACAAUGGGCGAAAGCCUGAUCCAGCAAUGCCGCGUGAGUGAUGAAGGCCUUAGGGUUGUAAAGCUCUUUUGCCCGGGAUGAUAAUGACAGUACCGGGAGAAUAAGCCCCGGCUAACUCCGUGCCAGCCGCCGCGGUAAGAC